UUCGCCUCGGCUGAGUUAAUGAGAUGGCAAACCCUCAGGAUAGAGGUGCAUCGAGUAGCCCCCGUCCAAAGCGGGAGAAGAAACUUCCGGGACAUCUGGUGGACUAUGAGCACAAUCUAACUGAGCCAUCCGAGCCAUCUAGAGCUCCAAGUAGUUCAAGCAGCUCCGAUAAUGAAGAGGAAGAGAGAUGGCAGAGGAUGGAAUCAGUAUGGAACAGUGUCCUCCAACACAUGACUCAACUGCAAGUGUCUAUGGAGGAAACUCAUGGAACAUUACUGAAGCGGGUGGAGCGUUUGGAGCAAGCUUCUCAACCUGGCAGUCCUCUCCCCCCAGAAACAGGAGCAUUAGAACAACGCCAACAUAUUUCCUCCAUAACAGAAGUUGCACCACUACAACCUAGCAGUGAGGUGUUACAGCACACCAUAGAGCCACUACCUGUGCCAGUAAUACCCACAGAGCAGGACACCACAACACCUGUGAACAUGCUGACGCCAGUGAAGACAUCCGCUCCAUCACCUCCUCGUAAAGUGAGCCUUCACACUCAGCCAGUGCUGCACCCUGCCACUUAUGUAGCCGCAUCGACGCCACUCAGGAGACCUGAACGAUGUACUGCUGAACCCUUCUCAUAUCAGCGAUCGGAACAUCAGCUCCUUAUAAACAGGCCAGGCCAGAUGCAGCUAUUACAUCCUGCAGCCCCAGCUGAUCAGCCACUAGGACGUGCUCAUCUUUCAGUACACCAGCUAUCACUGCCUGUGGACCCAGUGAGUCUGCAGCAGACGUCACAUCCUGCUGCUCCCGUCUUCCAAGCCAGACAUCCAGCUAAUCCUGUGUACUUGCAGCAACCACCACAUCCUGCUGAUCCUACCUACCAACCUCCACGUCCACCAGAACCUGUGACCCAGCCAUCACAGUGGGCAGACGCACAUCGCCCUGUGCCUAACAUACUGCAUCCUGAAGCUUUGCCUGAUCCAGCUGGCAAAUACUAUGUUCCUUAUCCCUCAGGAAGUAACUAUUCAUCAUCUUCCUCUGCUGAACACCAUAAUCCACAGGUUGCCACAACUUACCCAGCAGGAACGCCUCUACCAAACCUGAUGGAGAUGAUGGUAGCGUCCUCAUAUGGCAUUCCAAAGCCUAAGCUGGUGAUCUUCAGGUCGGGCAGAGAGAGUGACUUCGCCUUAUUAAAGAAAGGGCUGGACAGCACCUUAGGGCCACAUUCUCAUCUGGGAGAAGAUUACAAGUAUCAGGUCCUACUAGAUCAUCUAGAGCAUCCCAGCGCCCUACAGGUAGCCAAGCGCUACAUUCACGACCGCACUCCCUACACUAGUGUAAUGAGGGCGCUAGAGCAGAGGUAUGGACAGCCAAGGCAGUUAGUCCAAAGUGAGCUUAGCACUAUAUUAAACUGCCCCCCUAUUAGAACCGGAGACUAUCAAGCUAUUGAAGACCUGUCCCUGUCAGUGUCCAGCCUGGUCGGGCUUCUCAGUACCAUGGAUGAAGUGGCAGCCAGUGAGCUCCAUUGUGGUUCACAUGUGGACAGACUGCUUACCAAGCUCCCCCUGAACUACAGAGACAGCUUCAUCGAGUACUGUAUCACCCGGGGGACCAUCCGCACUGGCAGCAGCCGAACGUACAACAUGUACGACUUCUCAGAAUGGCUGGAACGGAAAUCCCAAGUCCUUCAGCUAUCCAGACAAGCCUCUCAAAUGCCCCCUGACAGGCCAUGUCCAGAGAAGAACGUACUCAAAGCCUCAGCAGGGCUCAAGCCACACAACAAAUCUGCUUCCAUCUACUACGGCCCAAACCCAACCCAAGCCAAGCUAAAACAAGAGGUAGAAUCUACAGCUCCAGAUCCGACAGUCCAACCUAAGAAGAGACAGAAGUUCAAACCUUAUUGUCCAUACUGCGAAGGGACAGCAUUAUCUGAAUGGCUGUGAUGGAUUCAAAAGGCUAGACCUCAAAGCUAUGGCUACCUGGAUUACAGAGAAGGCCAAAUGCUGGCGCUGUGGCCGUAAACAUUCUCCAGAGCAGUGUACUCUGAAGAAGCCGUGCAACACCUGUGGUGACCAGCAUUUGUCGGUGCUCCAUGACCUGGUUGAGGCCAAGAAGCGGGACCCUAACAUACUAACUGUGAGUACUAGUAUGGUCUACCUAGACUAUUCAAGUCACUCAGGUCGUGUUAUGCUUAAGGUAGUACCCAUUCAACUACAUCAUGGUGGCAAAUCUCUGGACACAUUUGCUGUGCUUGAUGACGGCUCAGAGAAGACUGUUGUGCUUCCUGCGGCAGUUAAAUCUCUAGGUUUGGAACAGGAGGAAGCAACACUCUCACUAAGAACUAUCCGUCGAGAUGUAAUCCAGAUGAAGGGAGGCUUUGUCUCAUUUCAGGUGUCACCAAGGGCUAAGCCCAAAGUGAGGUACAAAGUAACACAUGCCUUCACAGCCGAACAGCUGAGUCUAGCUACUCAGUCAUGUCCAGCUGAACAGCUAAAGAAGAAGUAUCUUCACUUGCAGAAAGCCCAGAUUGAGGGAUUUAACCAGGUCCAACCUUUGGUGCUGAUUGGCUCGGAUAACGCUCAUCUCAUCACCCCUGUCCGUCCUGUCCUUCGGGGGUCGUCCAAAGGGCCGGUAGCCGUCUGCACCAAGCUCAGAUGGGCCAUCCAGGGGCCAGCCAGUAGUAUGCCUACAUCUGAGGGGGACCUGCAGUGCCUGAACAUGUGCCUUUCUCCUGCAGAGGCCCUGCAUCAAGAUGUGAAGCGUUUGUGGCAACUAGACGCUUCCCCCUACAGGACAGAGAAGGAGGUCACACGGUCAAAGGAGGACAGAGAGGCGGUAGCUAUGUUGGAAACAAAGUUGCCAACAGAGUUCCCGGCAUGCAGCGAGGCAGAGCUCAGGAAGACUGCAUUCUGUGGGCACGCUUCGGUAUCCCCAACCUUACCAGAUCCAACACAGUAUGCCACACUAGAUGAGCUGAUUGCUGCUACACACCGGAUCCUACACGGGGCGGCCGACACUCCUAUUACAGCUGCAGAGCAACUAGAAACCAAGACCAUGCUGCUUCGCUCGGCUCAGACUGACAGCUUCCCAGAGGAGGCCCGAGCCCUCCAGAUCAGUCACCCAGUCCGCUCAGACAGCCGUCUUAGCGUGCUGUCCCCUGAAUAUGACAGUCUGACCAGUCUCAUCAGAGUCGGAGGCCGCCUCCGUCGAGCCGCCGACUUAGAUCCAGACAGUAUUCAUCCCAUUGUGUUAGCAGCUGAACAUCCCCUGACCAAGCUCAUCAUAAAAACUUAUGAUGACCAGCUCCUUCACCCAGGUGCAGAGAGGCUAUUUGCGGAAAUACGGCGCACCUAUUGGAUUCUCAGAGGACGUCAAGCCGUUAAGAAACAUCAGCACCAGUGUGUGGACUGUAGGAGAUGGCGCGCCUCACCUUCUACACCCAAAAUGGCUGACUUACCUUCAUCACGGCUGAGACUCUAUAAGCCCCCGUUCUGGUCAACGGGCGUAGACUGUUUUGGGCCGUACACGAUAAAGAUAGGUCGUAGAAGAGAGAAACGCUGGGGAAUUAUCUACAAGUGUCUUACAACCAGAUGCGUGCACCUUGAUCUCCUCCCUAGUCUUGACACUGAUUCCUUCCUUAUGUCAUUACGCCGAUUUAUCGCACGCCGAGGAAAGCCAUACGAGAUGUGGUCUGAUUGAGGGACCAAUUUCAGAGGUGGUCACAGAGAACUCCAAACAGCGUUUGAAAACAUGGAGCCUGACCUCAAGCAGCAACUAGCCAAGCAGACUAUCAACUUCUGCUUCAAUCCCCCACACUCUCCUCAUUUUGGCGGAGCCUGGGAAAGGGAAAUCAGAGCAGUGAAGUCAGCUCUGCAAGUAGUCCUGAAGGACCAAGUUGUAGCCGAAGAAGUCCUACUCACAGCCCUCAUAGAGGUUGAGGGCAUUUUGAACUCAAAACCACUCGGCUAUGCAUCGGCUGACAUAGCUGACCCAGAUCCCAUCACACCAAAUCUUCUCUUGAUGGGGCGGCAUGAUUCGGCACUACCCCAGGCAGUUUACGGCCCCUCAGGCACUCUUUCGACCAGAAGAUGGAGACACAGUCAGGUCAUCAGCGACCACUUCUGGAAGCGGUUCAUACAGCACUACCUCCCAGGACUGCAACUCCGACAGAAAUGGAGGAAGUCCACUGACAACAUGGCCGUGGGACAAGCUGUUAUGAUUGUGGACUCUAAUCUGCUUAGAGGCCUUUGGCCUGUGGGUACCAUUUCCCAAGUUUUUCCAGGGACUGAUGGCAUUGUUCGAGCUGCCGGGGUCAAGGUUAAAGACAGUACCUAUGUUCGCCCGGUAACUAAGCUGGUGGAACUUCCCAAAGUUCCUGAGGACUCAGAUGAUACUGUCUCAAAAUAGAAGGAUUUUAGCAUGUGUGUAUUUCCAUACAAAUACAGGGGCAGCUGUUAAAAGUCCGCUUGUUCACUUCAACUGUUUAGACUACGUUACCCAUGAUGCACCUCGGUAUCUGUACUUCCGGUUGGGAACGUGUUCAGCGCAGUUCUGCACAGAUGAGAGGUGUGUCGGAGGAUUAACGUUUUUCUUGUGUUCCUGUGUGAGUUACCCCUGUGUGCGUGCUUAUCAUAUGACCACACACUCAUAUACACACUCACACUCCCUUUACCUGCAUGUGAAUGCUGUAAUGCAAUCGCUUCCCCACCAAAGCUGUACAUCCUGUUGAUAUCAUCUGCCACCUCCUUAUUAAAGUUAUUUGAACUACGUCACUGUGGAGUACCAUUCCUUCUGACCGAGGACGACUCAGUUGAAGCGUGAUCGGCAAUCAGUGCAAACAUACAUUACAGAAUGCGUUCAUGCCCUUCUUUCUACAUCAGAAGCCAAAUAUUCUUCAGAAAGGUCUUCCUAACUGUUUCAUAAAUGUGUGGCUCUUUUAGGUUGCUUUGCUUUCACUCUUCUGUCCAGUUCAUUCCAAACCAGCUUGAUGUGGUUUAAGUCUGGAGACUGUGCUGGCCACUCCAUGUUGUCAAGCUUGCCUUCUUGUUCUUUUUUUCCUAAGAUAGAUCUGUAAUAGGGUCUGAACUUAUGUUUUGGGUCAUUAUCUUACUGUAGGAUGAACCCCUGACCAACUAGAUGCAUACCAGAGGCCACUGCAGAAUGCUAUGGUAGCCAUUUUGGUUCAGGAUACCUCUCACUCUGUAACAGUCACCUGUAUCCAACAAAAAGACCCAAACUAUCAUGCUUCCUCCUUAAUGUUUGACAUUUGAUGCCACAGAGUAAGGAACCAACGUUUUGCCUAAUCGACAGUGUGCAAAAAUCCUGAAUGAUAAACCAAAGAUUUCACAUUUUGAUUCAUCAGUCCAUAACACCUCCCAGUAUUCAGCAGUCCAUUGGUGGCAUUUCAUGGUCCAGGCAAACAUCUUUUUCAUGUUUUGAUGUCUAAGUAGACUUUUUUGCAUUGAUGUGUUUUUGUAUUGAUAGAGACUAACCAUGACAGAGACACACAACCAUUAACUUCUUUAUGAAUUAGAAAAAAGAGAUGUUAAAUCUUGUGAUAUUAUGACUUUUUUCAAAUACAUUAGAUUAGUGCUAUCACUACAGGGGACAA